rnacentral:lncRNA from 1 species
UUCUUUUGAUGAAUUUGACCUAUAAUUUGAUUACAUAAGAAAACAUCUCUGCAGGGACACCCUGAAGAAACAGGAAAGAGCACAGGAGAUGAAGAACAAACACAGCCAAUGGAAUCCAUCUCCUGUGAUGGGGAAGCCCAUCCCUUAGGAGACUUGAUGACAGUGGACAGAGACUUGAUGACAUUAUAGAUCCUGGAAGUCGGAUCCUGAUUUACCUAGUUUCCCUGCAGCCAAUGCUUUGGGAUGUGCCUUGGACUCAGCUAAUCAGAUACAGG